UAAGCCAUGCAAGUCGAACGAGUUUAGGCUCGUGGCGUACGGCUCAGUAACACGUGGAUAACCUACCCUUAGGACCGGGAUAACCUUGGGAAACUGAGGACAAUACUGGAUAGGCAAUUUUUCCUGUAAUGGUUUUUUGUUUAAAUGUUUUUUCGCCUAAGGAUGGGUCUGCGGCCGAUUAGGUAGUUGGUUAGGUAAUGGCUUACCAAGCCGUUGAUCGGUACGGGUUGUGAGAGCAAGAGCCCGGAGAUGGAACCUGAGACAAGGUUCCAGGCCCUACGGGGUGCAGCAGGCGCGAAACCUCCGCAAUGUGAGAAAUCGCGACGGGGGGAUCCCAAGUGCCAUUCUUAACGGGAUGGCUUUUCAUUAGUGUAAAAAGCUUUUGGAAUAAGAGCUGGGCAAGACCGGUGCCAGCCGCCGCGGUAACACCGGCAGCUCUAGUGGUAGCAAUUUUUAUUGGGCCUAAAGCGUCCGUAGCCGGUUUAAUAAGUCUCUGGUGAAAUCCUGUAGCUUAACUGUGGGAAUUGCUGGAGAUACUAUUAGACUUGAGACCGGGAGAGGUUAGAGGUACUCCCAGGGUAGAGGUGAAAUUCUGUAAUCCUGGGAGGACCGCCUGUUGCGAAGGCGUCUAACUGGAACGGUUCUGACGGUGAGGGACGAAAGUUAGGGGCGCGAACCGGAUUAGAUACCCGGGUAGUCCUAACUGUAAACGAUGCGGACUUGGUGUUGGGGUGGCUUUGAGCUGCUCCAGUGCCGAAGGGAAGCUGUUAAGUCCGCCGCCUGGGAAGUACGGUCGCAAGACUGAAACUUAAAGGAAUUGGCGGGGGAGCACCACAACGCGUGGAGCCUGCGGUUUAAUUGGAUUCAACGCCGGACAUCUCACCAGAGGCGACAGCUGUAUGAUAGCCAGGUUGAUGACUUUGCUUGACUAGCUGAGAGGAGGUGCAUGGCCA
rnacentral:rRNA from 1 species